rnacentral:rRNA from 1 species
AACGAACGCUGGCAGCAUGCCUAAUACAUGCAAGUCGAACGAGAUCUUCGGAUCUAGUGGCGCACGGGUGCGUAACGCGUGGGAAUCUACCCUUCGGUUCGGAAUAACUCAGGGAAACUUGAGCUAAUACCGGAUGAUGACGUAAGUCCAAAGAUUUAUCGCCGAAGGAUGAGCCCGCGUAGGAUUAGCUUGUUGGUGAGGUAAAAGCUCACCAAGGCGACGAUCCUUAGCUGGUCUGAGAGGAUGAUCAGCCACACUGGGACUGAGACACGGCCCAGACUCCUACGGGAGGCAGCAGUAGGGAAUAUUGGACAAUGGGCGAAAGCCUGAUCCAGCAAUGCCGCGUGAGUGAUGAAGGCCUUAGGGUUGUAAAGCUCUUUUACCCGGGAUGAUAAUGACAGUACCGGGAGAAUAAGCCCCGGCUAACUACGUGCCAGCCGCCGCCGUAAUAC